rnacentral:rRNA from 1 species
CCUACGGGUGGCUGCAGUGGGGAAUAUUGGACAAUGGGCGCAAGCCUGAUCCAGCCAUGCCGCGUGAGUGAUGAAGGUCUUAGGAUUGUAAAGCUCUUUCACCGGUGAAGAUAAUGACGGUAACCGGAGAAGAAGCCCCGGCUAACUUCGUGCCAGCAGCCGCGGUAAUACGAAGGGGGCUAGCGUUGUUCGGAAUUACUGGGCGUAAAGCGCACGUAGGCGGAUAUUUAAGUCAGGGGUGAAAUCCCAGAGCUCAACUCUGGAACUGCCUUUGA